GCCACUUUAGCUCAGCAGGUAGAGCAUCACCAUGGUAAGGUGGGGGUCGCCAGUUCAAAUCUGGCAAGUGGCU
rnacentral:tRNA from 2 species